UAAAAAAAAUCUUGCACAAUCACUAAAAAGUUUAGGGUCAGUAUCACAGUUUCCAUAAAGAAUAAAACGAAUUAAAGUGCCUUGUUCACUUUAACGUAACAUUUCAAAUGUAUUCAAAAUAAUAAAGUCCAGAUUUUUAAAACAUUUUAUUAAUUCCACACAUAACGAGCAGCGCAGUGAUGGUUGAACAGGUGUUUUGCAUCACAACCAUUACUAUAUUGUGUCAUUUAGCAUGCAGGAACGCUGUAUUGACCAAUCAGCAUCCGGGACCGUUUUAUAACAAUGUGUACGGUGCACUGCCUCUCUCUUUCCUGUCUCUCUCUCUCUCCAUCUUUUGUAGGAGCGAGUUAGCGGAGGGGUCUUGGUGGCAGAUGGGCAGGAGUAUCAGGGAUUGACUAAUCCCAAAUCUGCCGUCUCCUCACCACACCGAAACCAGGGGAGAGGCACGAGCCAGCUGCCACAUAGACGCCUUUCAUGCUCGUCUGCACACAACAGCUGCACCAGGCCUGCCUGCUUGCUUCUAAAUUAUUAAACAUCUUUUUAGUUUGUUCCAGAUGCAGAGCCCGAUGUGCUUAUGGAGGCCUUUGUGCAUUUUACAUACCGUUCCUUUUCCCCUCCUCUCAUCAGAAUGCUGUUUGUAAAAGUCAUUAUCCCAUCUGCGCCGCCAGUUUGGACAAAACAGCCCAAGACGAAUCCAGCACGUUCCGGGACAGUUUGGGAGUUGAGGAUGACGGUGAUGAUGGAGGGCUGCAGGGGUUUGGGUAUCUCGUCUCAGAAAGGCGGAGGCCACCUGUAAACCGUCGUCUCGCUCGCUGCUCCGGGGCGGCAACAGGAGUUUUGCAAGUAAGAUUUCAUCCUUUGGAAGGCGGCUUAAGGAAGAAUGAGCCUCUUUCACACACAGGUUGAAAUAAUCUGCUUCUCGUGGAGUCUUUCCCCCAAAGGCAGGCCGGCAAUGGCUGGCCUAUUAUUGCUGUGAAAAGGCGAUAGAGUCCUGAAUAUUCAUCAGGGAGAUGGAGGGGGCACAGAAUAGGGGCUCCAAAAUCCCACCGCACCGAUGGUCAGCUAAUGUACCAGGACACAGAAUGAAAGCAAGACAAAGUGGACUAGGGAAACAUGGCAAGCAAGACAAAGGGGAUGUUUUGAGUGAUUUGGCAUGAGUUUUGCUGCACCCGUGCUGCUGGAUUGAAGUUAAUAAGCGUGCGAGAGUCCCGACGAGAGAACUGUGGCUCUUACUGUCUCCCCCCGUCCAGGCUGGAUCUCCAGAUGAGUCCUCCACGGCCCACACACACCAGAGACGAAUCUGGAUCCUCCACUGGAGCCACUGCACCUGUUGUUUUCAGGAGUCGGAGAAAGAUAGACACUCAUGCUUGGAGACCGUAUGGAAGGAUGAGAACAGGCAAUGUGUUUUGUUGCUAAAGCCAAAAAAAAAAAAAAAA